rnacentral:rRNA from 1 species
CUAAACUACCAAUAUAAACUAACAAUGUUAAUAACAAGACACAGCCUAACACCAAAACUAAACCAUUUUUUUACCUGAGUAUGGGAGACAGAAAAGGUUCAACGAAAGCGAUAGAGAAAGUACCGCAAGGGAAAGCUGAAAGAGAAAUGAAAUAACCCAUAUAAGCACCGAGAAACAAAGACUAAACCUU